rnacentral:rRNA from 1 species
UACAGAGGGGGCAAGCGUUGUUCGGAAUUACUGGGCGUAAAGGGCGCGUAGGCGGCCUUCUAAGUCGAACGUGAAAUCCCCGGGCUCAACCCGGGAACUGCGUCCGAUACUGGAAGGCUUGAAUCCGGGAGAGGGAUGCGGAAUUCCAGGUGUAGCGGUGAAAUGCGUAGAUAUCUGGAGGAACACCGGUGGCGAAGGCGGCAUCCUGGACCAACACUGACGCUGAGGAGCGAAAGCCAGGGGAGCAAACAGG